GAUGAAGAACGUAGCGAAAUGCGAUACUUGGUGUGAAUUGCAGAAUCCCGUGAACCAUCGAGUCUUUGAACGCAAGUUGCGCCUCAAGCCAUUAGGUUGAGGGCACGUCUGCCUGGGCGUCACAUAUCGUUGCCUGAUGCCAGUUUCCUCGUGAUGGGUGACUGUGCAGGGCGAAUGAUGGCUUCCCGUGAGCAUUGUUGCCUCACGGUUGGUUGAAAAUUGAGUCCUUGGUAGGGAGCGCCGUGAUAGAUGGUGGUUGAGUGACGAACGAGACCCAAUCAUGUGAGACCCCUACCGAAUUUGGCCUUCAUGACCCACAUGCGUCUUUGGAACGCUCAUGACGAGACCUCAGGUCAGGCGGGGCUACCCGCUGAAUUUAAGCAUAUCAAUAAGCGGAGGA
rnacentral:misc_RNA from 1 species